UACGUAGGGGGCUAGCGUUGUCCGGAAUCAUUGGGCGUAAAGAGCGUGUAGGCGGUCCGGUAAGUCCGCUGUGAAAGUCGGGGGCUCAACCCUCGAAAGCCGGUGGAAACUGUCGGGCUAGAGUGCGGAAGAGGCGAGUGGAAUUCUUGGUGUAGCGGUGAAAUGCGUAGAUAUCAAGAGGAACACCUGCGGCGAAGGCGGGUUGCUGGGCUGAUACUGACGCUGAGGCGCGAAAGCUAGGGGAGCGAACGGG
rnacentral:rRNA from 1 species